GACGAACGCUGGCGGCGUGCCUAAUACAUGCAAGUUGAGCGCUGAAGGUUGGUACUUGUACCAACUGGAUGAGCAGCGAACGGGUGAGUAACGCGUGGGGAAUCUGCCUUUGAGCGGGGGACAACAUUUGGAAACGAAUGCUAAUACCGCAUAAAAACUUUAAACACAAGUUUUAAGUUUGAAAGAUGCAAUUGCAUCACUCAAAGAUGGUCCCGCGUUGUAUUAGCUAGUUGGUGAGGUAAAGGCUCACCAAGGCGAUGAUACAUAGCCGACCUGAGAGGGUGAUCGGCCACAUUGGGACUGAGACACGGCCCAAACGCCUACGGGAGGCAGCAGUAGGGAAUCUUCGGCAAUGGACGAAAGUCUGACCGAGCAACGCCGCGGGAGUGAAGAAGGUUGUCGGAUCGUAAAACUCUGUUGGUAGAGAAGAACGUUGGUGAGAGUGGAAAGCUCAUCAAGUGACGGUAACUACACAGAAAGGGACGGCUAACUACGUG
rnacentral:rRNA from 1 species